rnacentral:rRNA from 1 species
UGGCGGACGGGUGAGUAACGCGUGGGUAACCUGCCUCAUACAGGGGGAUAACAGUUAGAAAUGACUGCUAAUACCGCAUAAGACCACAGCACCGCAUGGUGCAGGGGUAAAAACUCCGGUGGUAUGAGAUGGACCCGCGUCUGAUUAGGUAGUUGGUGGGGUAACGGCCUACCAAGCCGACGAUCAGUAGCCGACCUGAGAGGGUGACCGGCCACACUGGAACUGAGACACGGUCCAG